rnacentral:ncRNA from 1 species
AAGGGUAGAGGCGCGAUAUUUAUCAGUACUAAUAACGAGGUAAGCACGAUGACUUAUUAGGAAAGGAAAUAUUGCCGAAGUAUAUAACUAAUGCUUUGAUGUUAUAUAACUGGGGAUGUAUAGAAUAUAUGCAUCACUGUCACAAAUUUACUUUGUGGUGAGCUACAU